rnacentral:rRNA from 2 species
CUGAGAGGAUGACCAGCCACACUGGAACUGAGACACGGUCCAGACUCCUACGGGAGGCAGCAGUGGGGAAUAUUGCACAAUGGGCGCAAGCCUGAUGCAGCCAUGCCGCGUGUAUGAAGAAGGCCUUCGGGUUGUAAAGUACUUUCAGCGGGGAGGAAGGGAGUAAAGUUAAUACCUUUGCUCAUUGACGUUACCCGCAGAAGAAGCACCGGCUAACUCCGUGCCAGCAGCCGCGGUAAUACGGAGGGUGCAAGCGUUAAUCGGAAUUACUGGGCGUAAAGCGCACGCAGGCGGUUUGUUAAGUCAGAUGUGAAAUCCCCGGGCUCAACCUGGGAACUGCAUCUGAUACUGGCAAGCUUGAGUCUCGUAGAGGGGGGUAGAAUUCCAGGUGUAGCGGUGAAAUGCGUAGAGAUCUGGA